CCUACGGGGGGCUGCAGUAGGGAAUCUUCCGCAAUGGACGAAAGUCUGACGGAGCAACGCCGCGUGAGCGAAGAAGGUCUUCGGAUCGUAAAGCUCUGUUGUUAGGGAAGAACAAGUACGGGAGGAAAUGACCGUACCUUGACGGUACCUAACGAGGAAGCCACGGCUAACUACGUGCCAGCAGCCGGGGUAAUACGUAGGUGACAAGCGAUGGCCGGAAUUAUUGGGCCUAAGGCGUGCGCAGGCGGUAUUUUAAGGCGGAUGUAAAAUCUUUCGGCUCAACCGCAAGCGGUCAUUGGAAACUGGGAGACGUGAGUGCAGAAGAGGAAAGCGGAAUUCCACGUGUAGCGGUGAAAUGCGUAGAGAUGGUGGGGAACACCAGUUGCGAAGGCGGCUCUCUGGACUGUAACUGACGCUGAGGCACGAAAGCGUGGGGAGCGAACAGGAUUAGAUACCCUUGUAGUC
rnacentral:rRNA from 1 species